rnacentral:rRNA from 1 species
AGAGAGAGACAUGCGCGCAUAUCAAUAAGCGGAGGAAAAGAAACUAACAAGGAUUCCCCUAGUAACGGCGAGUGAAGCGGGAAGAGCUCAAAUUUGAAAUCUUAAAGGGUUUCCCUUUACGAAUUGUAGUUUAAAGAAGUGUUUUCUGUUGAGGUUUUGGUAAAAGUUCUUUGGAGUAGGACAUCAUAGAGGGUGAGAAUCCCGUAUUUGACCUUUACUUUCAACUUUGUGAUAUCACUUUCAAAGAGUCGGAUUGUUUGGGAAUGCAGUCCAAAAUGGGUGGUAAAUUUCAUCUAAAGCUAAAUAUUGGCGAGAGACCGAUAGCGAACAAGUACCGUGAGGGAAAGAUGAAAAGAACUUUGAAAAGAGAGUUAAACAGUACGUGAAAUUGUCAAAAGGGAAGCGUUUGACACCAGUGUUGUUUUUCUGAAAAUCAAUUAAAGAACUGUUUAUGCUAAGUUGUUUAGACUUUAUCAGCUAACUGUUUAGUUUUGAGCUUUUCUUUAAUGCACUUUUCAGUUAACAAGUCAACAUCAAUUUCUUUUGCUGUAAAAAAGCUUGAGGAAGGUGGCUUGAGAUUCGUCUUAAGUGUUUAUAGCCUCUUGCCUAUGCAGUCGGAGAGAUUGAGGUCUGCAGCGUAGAUCCUUCGGGGCUAAAUGCAUUUGUGCUAAGUUAUAGCAUUUUAUAGACAACUUGUUGACUAUGAUUUGUCUUGUAGCUUACUCGCUUAUGUUAUUUUACCUACGCUUAGGAUGUUGAGCGCAUGUCUCUCUCU